CGCGUGCGCGAGGCAGGUUUACGCGCAUGCGUUCUCGACGCUCUCGAUACGCGGAGAACGUUUACGAAAACGGGGUCCAGCCGGGACAGCCAGUGAAAAUGCCGCUGUGAGCACGUUACCGUGCUUCUCCGGUUUAGAGCUGGUGUUUGCGUAGUGACGGAUAUUUUCGCGAGUUACAAACCAGUGCGUUGGUUCGUCGCCAUCUAGCACGAGGAAGUGGUGAUCUUCGACCUACGACUAGAAGAAAAAGCUGUCAAGCAUCGUCGGCCGCCUCGAGUACCUACCAGGGCACCUAGCGUUCUUCCAAGUAUCGAUUCCUGGCCAGGACGCUUCCUCGUGAACGACUGAACGGUCACUUGGGCGUUACGAUUCCUGUCAAUGCGGUCUCUGCUAUGUUAAAUAUAAAACUGACGUAUCGACUCGAAGUUGCCUUAUGAUUGUUUUCGAUAUGAAAAAGAAAAUGGCGAUGUAUCUAAACAUGUCAUAUGGUUUUGUACAAAUAAAAAUGUUCGUCAUACAGUAA